CGCGGGCUGCACCCCGGGCAGACGCUCUGCAAUGAGACAGUAAAUGCAUCCCCCGGGGACUGUGCAGUAUUUAAUGACUCAACUCCGGAUGUUUCCUUUCCACUGAUGUCAGUUUAUAGAGCAGCUCUCAAGCGAAUGUUUGUGCAGAAAGGAAAGAGGUAGGGAGCCCUUGAGACCCUAAGAAUAAGUGGGCUUCAGCUGCUGCCCCCAUUUGCUAUGGGGGCCAGGCCCUGAUACUUCAGUGCCUGAUGCUUCCGGUUUCUAGGUGCAUGGAAGUGUUGGCUUUGGGGACUUGAGACCAGCUGGGGGUGCUUUCAUGGGGGUGCGAUCAGGUGUGGGUGGUAGGUGUCUUGGAGCAGGUGCUCCCAGAAGUUGAGUG
rnacentral:lncRNA from 1 species